rnacentral:rRNA from 1 species
GAGUUCGAUCCUGGCUCAGGAUGAACGCUAGCUACAGGCUUAACACAUGCAAGUCGAGGGGCAGCAUACUGAUAGCUUGCUAUCAGUGAUGGCGACCGGCGCACGGGUGAGUAACGCGUAUCCAACCUUCCCCGUAGUAGGGCACAGCCCGGCGAAAGUCGGAUUAAUUCCCUAUGUUCUCCAAUGCAGACAUCUAAGUUGGAGCAAAGAUUGAUCGCUAUGGGAUGGGGAUGCGUCUGAUUAGGUUGUCGGCGGGGUAACGGCCCACCGAGCCCGCGAUCAGUAGGGGUUCUGAGAGGAAGGUCCCCCACAUUGGAACUGAGCCAUGAUCAAACUC